CAUUUACAAACGUAGCUACGGCGAGUGAAGAGGGAGAGCUCAAAUUUGAAAGCUGGUACCUUCGGUAUCCGCGUUGUAACCUCGAGACACGUUUUCCGUGCGGCGCUAUGGACAAGUUCCUUGGAACAGGACAUCGUAGAGGGUGAAAAUCCCGUACUUGCCAUGGAUGUACCGUGCUUUGCGAUACGUGCUCUAAGAGUCGAGUUGUUUGGGAUUGCAGCUCAAAAUGGGUGGUAGACUCCAUCUAAAGCUAAAUAUCGGGGAGAGACCGAUAGCGAACAAGUACCGUGAGGGAAAGAUGAAAAGCACUUUGGAAAGAGAGUUAAAAGUACGUGAAAUUGUCGAAAGGGAAGCGCUUGAAGUCAGCCAUGCCGCUCAGGACUCAGCCUGGCUUUUGCUUGGUGUAUUUCCUGGGUAGCAAGUAGCAUUGGUUUGGAUCGUCGGAGAAGCAUAGUCGGAAUGUGGCGCCCUCGGGGGUGUUAUAGCCUUCUAUUGGAUACGACGAUCUAGACCAA
rnacentral:rRNA from 1 species